GGUGGUGUUGGUUACCCAGGGGAGAAAGGGGACAGCGGUGUAUUCUCCCCCCUGGGAAGACGAGGACCCACUGGGCAGAAAGGUGAUAAAGGGCAGCCGGGACGCCCAAGUACCUCUGGAAGUGGCUGUCCUGGACGACCCGGUGCACUGGGAUUCCCUGGGGCUCCAGGGCCAAAGGGUGAUGGUGGGUUUGAGGCCCUAGGUCCAGCCGGCCCUGAAGGUUUCC